GCCCCCAUCGUCUAGCGGCCCAGGACGUCAGCCCUUCAAGCUGAAAACAGGGAUUCGACUUCCCUUAGGGGCA
rnacentral:tRNA from 1 species